UACGUAGGGUGCGAGCGUUGCCCGGAUUUAUUGGGCGUAAAGGGCGCGUAGGCGGCCACGCACGUCCGUUGUGAAAUCGCCCGGCUCAACUGGGCGGGGUCAGCGGAUACGGCGCGGCUGGAGCAAGCUAGGGGGCAAUGGAAUUCCCGGUGUAGUGGUGGAAUGCGUAGAUAUCGGGAGGAACACCAGUGGCGAAGGCGACUUCCUGGCCUGUUCUUGACGCUGAGGCGCGAAAGCUAGGGGAGCAAACGGG
rnacentral:rRNA from 1 species